AUUACAAAUAUUUACAUAUUAUGUAGGUACAUAUUUCUAAAGAUUUUUUUUUGUUUUUUAAAUUAAGAUAAUGAGGUUUUUGAACAGAAAAGAUGUUUGCACUUUGGUGAUAAUUUAAAUUUUGGAUAGGUAGGUAUUUCUGAAAGGAUUCUUUUGCUUGACGAAUUAUUUUUGAAAUUAGGGAACCUGUAUCGGAGCAAUUAAAAUUUCAAAAACGGAGAGUAAAAAUUCUUGAUGUUUCAAAACAUUUGAAAUAAUUUAAUUUCGUAAAAUUCAAGCGCAAAUUCUAAGUAGUUCUAUUUAUCAACACUAAUAAAAAAUUCUCGAUCGCAUUGCCUACUUAGAACUUACAGUGUGUUGAAAAAUUUGAGGAACUAUGUACAUAUGGAACAAAAACGAUUGAAAAAUAAUGAUUUUUGAAAUGUUUGAAAAUUCGUGAAAAUUUUGUCUUACAAUAAAUUGUCAUCUCGACUAAAAUCUGAUACCUUGUGAGGUGCCCUGUAGGCCACUCCAUUUGAAAAGUAUAAUUUAAAUUAAUAAAUGAAUCAAUUUCUCAUCUACAAACGAAACUAGUUAACUGUGUAGAUACGUUUGCGCGCGCAGGCUGAUUUAAAACAACGCGUCUAAUUUUAGAAAAGUACCUACUUCUACACGAGUAGAUAAAAUCACGUAACACAAACACAAAACACAAUCUGCAUCUGCUUUGUCGCAGCUACAGCCUACUAUUUUAUCAAGCGCGUCGAUUUUGAUAAUAACCGCAACUUCAGUAGCUAAAUGUGCUUGUCGAUUUAACGUACUAAGUAAGUGUUUUUGCAUAAUAUCGACGAAAACUGGUUAUCAACUGACUGAAAUUAGAAUAUCUUGUCAACUUCAAAUCUCUUGUGACUAAUAUUCAGCAGCGAUGAACGUCAUGUUAUAUGUACAUGCGUUUGUAUCAAUAUGGGUUAUCUUUUUUUCACAAAUUACCGCUGAAAAAACAGUCACGAUUGAAGUUCCCAGAGAGCAGUGGUACUACGUAACGACGCCUACAACACCAUCACCAAACUACACAACAACAGCACCAACAACACCAACAACACCAGUAACAACACCAUCAACACCAGUAACAACACCAUCAACACCAUCAACACCAUCAACGACAACCACCGAAAAACCAUCUUGCGGCCCCGUGUACGAACACAUAUUGAAAGGAUGGGUAGAAAAUAUAUUCUAUACGGGUCAUUCUGAUGACGGAAUUGUGUGUUAUAUUGCUGUCAUUGAUGAAUCAUCGCCGCUAAAUUUGGUAUAUCAUGCGAGUUUUUCUCGUUUACUGUGCGAUCGUGCUGAAUUUGAGAGCAUAAACAGUCGUAGAACUGAAUUAUGGAGCAUCUCUGAUAAAGUAAGAGGGAUUCCAGUAGCUGUUGGAAUACAGCGCGCUGGCUGGCAAGGUGUUUUCCGUUGUAAUAUUUAAAUUCUGUCGAAUGAUAUUGUCACCAGAGAAAAAAAAUAAUUUUUCCUAUCAAGUAUACAGGUACAUGUUACUUAGGUAUAUUCACCGAAGACAAUACGAUUAUCAUUUUAGCCCAUUAUUUCAUUAUUCUUUAAUACUUUAUUUGCAAACUUUCUUUGUAAAUUAUAAAACUUUUCCAUCAUUAAAAAUUAUUUUAUCCAA